GCCAGAGUGGUGGAAUUGGCAGACGCGCCGGACUCAAAAUCCGGUCCCCGUAAGGGGGUGUGGGUUCAACUCCCACCUCUGGCACCA
rnacentral:tRNA from 1 species